GGCAGGACAGCAGCCAGAGAGGCCAGGCGGCUGGCGGGGGAGCCCGGAGGAGGCUCCGAUUCCCUUCCUGAAUAUUCAUGGAUCAGCAGAUGUCUGGCUUCCCCACCUCGGAGGAGCUCAGCACCCAACAAGCGAUCCAGGCAAACACUGAUCCACUGCCCCAUUCCCAUCACUGCCUUGCUGCACUCGACAGCUGGGAACCACUGCUCCUCAACACCCACUUCUGCUCAAGGCCAGCCUGCCCCAGCAAGCCUGGGAUUCAGAGGACUCCUUCCUGGUACCCUUUUAUGGAAACCCCUGCACAUCUGGCAUCAUGGGGCUGAGAUCUGCUCUCUCCCAGGGGCUCUGGAUGCUCUGCUGCAGCUGCACAUGCUGAGCAUGGCAGGAUGGGCACACUGCCUUCAGCAGAACUGAAAGCUUCAACACACCAGAGAAUUGUCAAAGAAACCUCUGAAAAAAGUAUUACACUGAACUUCCUUGCAAUUUCCCGGGAGCAUGCAGAGACCACUAUCUGGAAACUCCAAGUGACAUCCCUGAGAAACCGCCAGCUGCUUAGAAGGACUCGCUAAUCACUGGCUCCAGGCACUACCUCCCGCCGCGGUGCAAACUGUUGGCUGUUGGGAACCACUUGCAGGCACAGAAGAGUUCCCUGCACACCUCCCCAUCGGUCUGGAUGCGUUGGUGGCUAGUGUUUAUACUAGAAACCCCAUGUAAUCACUCUGCAGUCUCCCCUUUUCCGUGGCAAGCACAUGACCUUGUUUAUGUGUAUUUAUCACUCCAGUUACCACUAAUCAAGGGGAGAUUGUACAAAUAGGAGGGAAGGAACAUUUACAUCAAUUAAUUUUAGCAGCAUCUUUAUUGCAACAAAGAACCUGUAAUAAAAUGCAACAAAACUAAUGUUUCACUUUACAUGAUUAAAAGCCAUGUAGCUGAAAAUGAGAAAACCCAUUAACUUACUGGAAUGAGACAUGCAAUUCUUUUUAUACAAGUCAAUGCUUAAAACAGCAGGCACUUUAUGUUCUAAAAUUAAAGACCUGAACUCCAAUUGUGCUGAAUACAACGUAAAAUUGUAUUUGGGUUAUUCAAAAAUAAACAUACAAAUAUUACUUUUUUCUCUCUGUGAGGGACUUCUGAAAUGAUUACCUAGAACUGUCUCUUGACAAAAUGAGAAAAGCAGGAGCCAGCACCUUGCACUAACAUGUCUCCAUACUUGUAGGCCGUAAGAUGGGUGGGUGAGGCUGGGUAAGGUUAGGAAAGCAGGAGUCAGGGGAGUUUCCUUAUACCUUCAUGUCUGCUGGGAAUGGACACUCACCUUAAAAUCUUAGUUUAGAUAUAGCCAUGUGUCUUUUCUUAUUUCAAAUAGCUCUAAGUUAGGCUCCCAGGCUUAUGCAAGCACUCUAUUCUAUAUCCCAAAUCCCCCACUACUAGGAAGACACAUUUAGUGUAACAGUUUUAAUUAACUUCAGAAUGUCAUAUACUAAUUAGAAGUACUGCUUCAUUAAUAAGCAUGCUUAGCAUUUACUUUAGAAUGGAAAAAUUAACCAUUUUAUGUUAUUUUUAAAAUGUU